GCCCUGAUAGUAUAAAAAUUACUUUGGUCUUGUAAACCAAAAAUGAGAAUACAUUCUCUCAAGGCU
rnacentral:tRNA from 1 species